rnacentral:tRNA from 2 species
GCGAGAGUGGCGUAAUCGGUAGCCGCAGCAGACUUAAAAUCUGCCGACCGAAAGGUCAUACGGGUUCAAGUCCCGUCUCUCGCACCA